AGGUCUUCCUGAGAUGUAAGCAAUAAAGCUUUGCCGUAGAAGGAUCUGGUUGUCCGAGUAUGUUUUGCUGGCGAAACAUUACAAGGACAAGAUCUAUCUGCAUUUUGGCUGCCAUGACAGUUUUGAGCCAUAUGACUUGAUUAUUGAGAAAUAAAUUCGGAUCCUGUGGAAGAACCUUGGGCUUCAUUGUGGAUGCCAACAAGUGCUUGCUGACAGGAGCCCGAUAUAGCUGUCUUCUGAGAGGCUCUUCCAGUGCUUAGCAAAUACAGAUGCAGCAGAACUUCCUUCCUGAAAGAAACUGGAAAUAUCAAUCUGCAGAUGGAGUUGGAGGUUGAGAAAAAUAAGCUGAAAAUCCAGGCUACAAUAUAUUAGAGGCCUCAAGUUCAAUUAUACAGCAAUUGUUUAGCUCCAGGAGUUACUGUGGCUUCAAGCUGUUGUUUCAACUGAGCAACUUUUCCAAGUGGUGGUGGUAUUAGAGCUUCUGGACACUCAAAGAAGUAAGGGGAGACUAUUCAUCUAAAAAUUCCAAUUUGGUUUCAUAUAUAUUCAUCUACAUGUUUCUGCAAGUUUCUCCUUGAGCCAUCCUUGAAAUCUAAAGAAAACAUACACCUGAGCGGCCCUUGUUAACAUCUGUCAACUCAAAGGCACUGUGCGAGUGGGUGGUCCAUAGCUGGAUGAUCCCAUGGCUUCUGGGUUUAAGACAAGGCAGCAUAUCAUGGAAAAACAAGGACAAAAAAUGGAACUGGGACUGAAAGAAAGGCCAUCGGAAGACUGCCCCACCUGAGGAUCCAUCAACGUCCCCCGCCCCCCAUUGCUGAUGCCAAGAAGAACUUGCUGACAGGAGCCUGGUAUAGCUGUUCCCUGAGAGAUUCUUCCAGUACCUGACUAAUACAGAUGCAGAUACAGCCAACUAUCAUUACUGAGCCUGGGGACCCUAAUGGAAGUGUUAGGGGAAGGACUGAAGGGUCUGAAGAGGAUUACCACCCUAUAGGAAGACAAUAUUAACUAAUUAGACCACCCAGAGCUCCCAGGGAGUAAAUGACCAACCACAGAGAAUACAUGGAGGGAUCCAUGCCUCCAGACACAUAUGCAGAAGAGGAUGGUCUUAUCUGACAUCAAUGGGAGGGGAAGCCCUUGGUUUUGUAGAGGCUUAAUGCCCCAGUAUAGGGGGAUGAUAGAGUAGUGAGGUGGGAGUGGGUAUGUGGGUGGUUGAAAUGAGGAGAUAGUGCAGCUACUUGUCCAAGGUGACCACUGGAAGAGAAUCCUUUGAUGGAAGACAAACAAGAUGCUGCAUUGGGCUCUGCAGGAGAAGACGAUGAAAAGAGGAUAGAAAGGGAAGCAAUAGAUAGCUCUGGAGAGGGACGUUGCCCUCUACUCCGCAUGCUGAAGGAUAUGUUAAAAGAAUUCCAGAGAAAGGCACAUCUACAUAUUUUGUUGUAUCUGGCACUUCAAGAGGUCUCUGGAGACUGAGACCUGACUGGAAAGGUCCCCAAGUCAACAUGGCAGAGACUCUGAUUAAUAUGGAUGCUUUCAAGCUUCAGUGAGACCUCUUCUUUCAACAGAAUUCAGAGGGAAGCUGAAGGUACAGGGUUGGGGAGAGGGAAUCGUGGAAAAAUAUUCUUUCAACUUAGGUACACUGCCACAAGCCUUGUGAAAGACAGCCUCUGCCCCCUCCCCAGCUGACAGGACCAGACGGAAUCUCUUUGGGUGCUGGAGAGGUUGAUGAGACGCUGCAAGAAUGAAGCUCCUGAUCCAGUUGCCCCUGUGGAUGUGGUGGAUGAUCCCGCAAGCACAAACGAUGGAGCCGAGAUGGGAGAUCCUUUCCGUGUUCCAGAAGCCGAUACCAGCUCGAC
rnacentral:lncRNA from 1 species